GAUUUUUUUGUUUUCUGUUUUACUCAAAUUCUUGUCAUUUAACUCCUUUGGUGAGAGAUAAGCCUAAAUGUAGGACUUUAAUUUGAAAUAAUUUAAGCAAAUUUAUCCUUUCAAAAAAACCCAAAACAAUCAGCUCACGUUUAUUUUAUUUUUUACUUUUCCUAAAGGCAGCAGGUCUUCAUCCAACUGCUGAACAGAUUGAAAUGUUUGCUUACCACCUCCCUGAUACAACACUUUCCAAUCUCAUCGUAAGUAGAAACUUUGAAGUCUCAUCUAAAAAUGGUGGUAUGCUAGAGAGUUACUGGUCCACCUCAUGGGUCUGGGUGGAUAGUCUGCCUUUGUAAAGUUGCUCUCCAUGUAACUUAUCUUGUAGAUGAAGACUUUCUUUCAAAAUCCUCUGGGAGUUUCUUGAGGAAUGUUCUGUCUGAGUUUCAGGUUGGGAAGCUGUGGGGGAGAUCUCUUAGCUUCGGGAGGCAGUGAAUAAAGCAGGCCUUUCUGGAAGUCUCUUGUGGAUUAAAGACAUUGUCUUCUAUAGACUUUAUUCCUGCCCAUUGAUGCAGUCCAGUAACUUCAUAUAUUUUUCCUCCCCCAGGAUAUUUUUGUAGACUUCUCACAAGUUGAUGGGCAGUAUUUUGUCUGCAAUAUGGAUGAUUUUAAGUUUUCUGCAGAGUUAAUCCAGCAUAUCCCAUUAAGUCUCCGAGUGAGAUACGUGUUCUGCACAGCCCCUAUCAAUAAGAAGCAGCCCUUUGUGUGCUCCUCAUUGUUACAGGUGAGCCUUCAUGUCUGCUAUUUUGGCUUGUUUAAGAUGGACACCUUUUUUUCCAAAUAAUUGUUUGUUAUUUGAAAUUAAACAUUUGGGAGAGUACCAUAUAAAUAUAAGAGACUUUCUAAAAACUUAAAUAUUCUUGACUCUUUUUCUCACAGAUAAUUUUUUUUCCCCAGUAUUGGGGAUUGAACCCAGGGGGUGCUCUACUGCAAAGCUACAUCCUUAGCUCUUUUUAUUUAUUUACUUCAUAUUUUGAGACAAGUUCUCACUAAGUUGCCCAGGCUGACCUCAAGCUUGUCGUCCUCCUGCCUCAGCCUUCCAAAAUGCUGAGAUUACAGGUGGGCACCACUAUGCCUGGCUUUACAGAUAAUUUUUGAGGGAGGUAGAACCCUUGUCUUACAUUUGGGCUCAUAUUGUAGCCACUGUGAAGAAGCUAAAACAAAGACUGGGGUUGUAUCUCAGUGGCAGAGCGCUUGCCUUGCAUGCAUGAGGCAUUGGGUUCCAUCCUUAGCACCACACAUAAAAAUAAACAAAAUAAAGAUGUUGUGUCCAUCUACAAUUUAAAAAAAAAAUUUAAAAAGAGUCUAAAAUAAAAAUGAUUUAAAAAUAUAUUUUGAGGGAAGGCACUUUGCCUGAUGGCAAACCUUUUCCUUAUUGUUGUGGGGUAACUAUUUCAAAGGGAGAGGGAUUGCAGUAGUGGCAACAAUAUUCAGUUUUCUUAACUGUAAGGCACUGUGCUGGGUGGUUGUCUUGUGUGAGUAUGGGGCCUAGGUUCCAGCCCCCUUCCUUUUAACCCGUUUGUGUAGGGAUGUGAAUCUGUGACUUCUGAGGAGCACAGGACUUUGUGGGAAAGGGCAGCGAGGGCAGGGGAACCCUACAGAGGCCUCUUCUUCCUCUGAAGACUCAUCGUUGCCAACUCCUCUAGAGGCCUUUGUAUUCUGUGCACUAGCUCUUUUAACCAAAUCUAUUUCUAAAUAUAAAUAUGUGUGUGGGGGGGUUUCUUUUUCUUUUGGUACCAGAGAUUGAACCUAGGGGCACUUAACCACUGAGCCACAUCCCCAGCCCUUUUUAGUAUUUUAUUUAGAAACAGGGUCUACUGAGUUCCUUAGGGCCUCACCAAGUUGCUGAGGCUGGCUUUGAACUCUAGGUCCUCCUGCCUCAAUCUCCCAAGCCACUGGGAUUAUAGGCGUGUGUCACCGUGCCUGGGUGUAAAUUUAUAUUUUAAAUUAUAAAAUGCAUAAUACUUUCUCUUAGUAUAACAUUAAAACAUUGCAGGUCGAUAAAUUUGGCCACCUCCCACUCUCGGUUCUCUGAAAUGAUUGCUUUGAUGUGUUUGUGUGCGUCUCUGCAGACCUUUUCCGUGGCGUCUGCCUGCAUGCAUGUGCACAUAGGAAUUCUAGUUUUGUCCUGUGGAUGUGUUUCCCAUAGAUGUUAUCAUAGCAAGUUAUUCUGCAAAUUGCCUUUUUUCCUUAACAGUAUGUCUUAGAGGUCUUCCAUGUCUGGGUUUACCUAGAAAAUAUUUUUCCUGGAGCUGGCAUUUGGGGGAAAGUUAGUACAAGGUCAGAGGUUAGAGAACGGUCUGAGACUGAGGAAGCUGACCUGAAUGGAGCUGGCAUCAGCCUCAUUUGCACUAUCUCUUAAGCUCUUCUAACAAAGCAGGAGCUCUUUGCUAAGGAGUAAGGAAUCUCUGGAACUGUACAGUCAACAUACACACAUAUGUUUUCUGUUUAAAAACUUCUGAAAUCUAGAAGUUUUCCCUUUGCUCUUUUUUUUUUUUUUUUAAUUUUUUUGUAUUGUAGAUGGACAGAAUGCUUUUAUUUUAUUUGUUAACUUUUAUGUGGUGCUGAGGAUCGAACCCAGUGCCUCACACAUGCUAGGCAAGUGCUUUGCCACUGAGCUACAGCCCCAGCCCUCCCUUUGCUCUUGAUCUCUACCAUCACUGAAGUAUAAAGAGCUCAGUCCCAUAGAUGGCCUCCCAUGCCUCUCAGGACAGUGGUUUUGAAACUGUUCUCCCCAGAGCUCCUUUAGGGCUGGCUGCAAGUGGAAUUAUCUCAGUGGACAGUGAGAUACUAAAACUAGUGCUCUCCCUGCCCUCUCCACUCAGCCCCUGAACUUGGACUUCCACUAGUUUCUGUGGCCAGAGUUCUUAAGGGCACUGCCUUUAUAAAGAGAGCCUGAGAACCCCUGCUUGUUGUGUCCUAACAGGUUAGCAUGGUCACAUUUCCAUUCAUCAUGGCUGUCUGACUUGGCAUUUAUUAAAAUUGGCAGAAUGCACCAGACUAAAUUUAACAAAAUUAGAGUAUUCUUUAGCCAAAGGAAUCUAAAAUGGCUCUGCCUCUCUGAAGUAUUGGCCUUGCUUAGGUUAAGCAUUGAGAGAUAAUUUGCCUUAAUUAGGAAAUGAAUUAUUUGAAAUCAGCUUUGACUUGAAGCCAGAGUUUAAACUCUUUUUUUUUUUUUUUCUUGUACCAAGGAUUGAACCCAGAGUUGCUUAACCACUGAGCCACAUCCCCAGCCCCUUUAAUUUUUUUAUUUUGAGAUAGCGUUUCUUCUGAGUUGCUUAGGGCCUCACUAAGUUACUGAGGCUGGCCUUGAAUUUGUGAUCCUCCUGCCUCAGCCUCCCAAGCUGCUGGAUUUCAGGUGUGCACCACUGCACCAAGCCCCUUUUUAUAACUUUUAAUGCAGACAUUAUUGCCCUAACUUUGGAAAAAGGUGAAAGUCAUCUUUUUUUUUCUUAAAGAAUUUAAUUUUUUUAUUUAAAGAACUAAGGUUUUUUUCUUUCUUUUUUUUUUUUUAAUGUGUGUGUAUGUGUGUAGAUUAAAUGUUUUUAAAAAUGUAAAAAAAGCCAGGGCUGGGGAUAUAGCUCAGUUGGUAGAGUGCUUGCCUUGUGUGCACAAGGCCCUGGGUUCAAUACCCAAUACCACCAAAAAAAGUAAAAAAAUAUCAAGGAGCAAAGAAACAAGCCUGUCUAUUGAAACACAACCACAGGUAAUAUUUGUGCUUUUUUCUAAUUAUAGACUUAAGGGAAUUCUAAUUCUUUUACCAAACUAUUCCUCAGUUUGCCAGGCAGUAUAGCAGGAAUGAGCCUUUGACCUUUGCAUGGUUACGCCGAUACAUCAAAUGGCCUCUACAACCACCUAAGAACAUUAAAGACCUCAUGGAUCUUGAAGCUGUCCAUGACGUCUUGGAUCUUUACCUGUGGCUAAGGUACCAAUUUUCUCCUUUAUGUGUUCUUGUUUCUAAGUAAUAGGGCAAAUCAAAGGUUUUAUGAAUGGUGGGAGGUUUUUUGUUUGUUUUUUGUUUCAAACUCAGCACAUAUUUGCAAGAAGCUCUAUAUUAUGUUUGUUGUCAAUAAAAGCACUUGAGCCUGGCUUAUAUUUCUUCCAAAAAAGUCUUCAGGAGUUUUGUGGUUAUCAUUGAGACAGCCAAGUGAGAAGAUCCACUAGACCCUUUCUACUCAAAGAGUGGUCCUUGGAUCACAAGUGUUGGUAUCACCUGGGAGCUUUAGAAAUAAAGAAUCUCAGGGCCAUCCCAGACUUAAUCAGAUUCUGCAGUUUAACAGUAUCUUCAGUUGGUUCACUUGUAGAUUUUUGACAUUUGAGAAUCCGUGCUCUAGAGGGCUCGGCUUCUCAAAGGAGGGGUAUAUAUCCCUAGGGGAGCAUAUAAAGAUUACUUGAGAUAGCAUACCAACCCACUUUCAUCAUGACAUAUUCCUCAGGUAUGUUGGAGAAGAAGUAGAAGUUGAAUAAAGAUACUGGACAGUUUGCAAAAAGAAAACAUUUGGAAUUAACGUAGGUGUGCCACUGAGAUUAGUCCAGAGCUGUUGCUAUAAUAUAUCGUGUCCUUUUCACAGCUACCGAUUCAUGGACAUGUUUCCAGAUACCAGCCUUGUGCGAGACCUGCAGAAGGAGCUGGAUGGUGUUAUCCAGGACGGUGUUCACAACAUCACCAAACUGAUUAAAAUUUCCGAGACACGUAAGCUGUUGCAUCUGGAAAGCUCAUUAGCAGGGAGCCAGUCACGUUUGUCAGGAACCUUGAAGAGCCAAGCUAGAAGGGCACGUGGCACCAAAACUGCAGGGAGUAAAGCUGCUGAGCCGCUUGGCGCCAGCGCUGGGGAGCUAUCCCUCGCUUCCAGACUGGUGCAGCAAGGACUCCUCACUCCAGACAUGUUGAAGCAGCUUGAAAAGGAGUGGAUGACACAACAGACUGAACAUGGCCAAGAGAGAACAGAGUCUGGGACUUACUCAAAAGGGACAAGAAGAAAGAAGAAGGAACACAAUUCUGAUUAGUUUUUGUUUUUUUAAUUUUGCAAAUAAAAAUCUAUUUUAAG
rnacentral:lncRNA from 1 species